ACUGUGGUGUUGACCAAUGAUGAUAUCAAAGUGCCAUAUGGCAAGUGAUAAAAAUGGGUUAUUCAUAAAGGCCAUGGAGCUGGUUAUGUAAGAUUUGUUUGUAUAGAGAGUCAAUGGUCGAAGGAGCUAGGGUGUAUAAUAGGCUAGCCGACUUUUCACUCUUCUUUCUAACAAUAUAUAGAGUUAUUUUAUCACUUGUUAUAAAAAAUAUUCUACUCGAUUCAACAUUAAAUCAACUACCUAUCAAAGUUUGAACAUAAAUUGUUCAAGCUUCUUUCUUUUUGUCAUUGUAUAUGUCAUCUAUCACCACCACAACUAAAAAAAGAAAGCUAAAGUUCACGGCAAAAAAAGUAAGACCAAACCUAACAACUUAAAACAGGUCAUUAGAGAGUUUUUGGACUAUUUGUGCAUAACCAUAUCCAAAGUGAUUGUAGUCCUGUUUUCAACUAGGCAACGUUCUCCUUUUUUUGGAACAGUUGACAACACUUCAUUUGUUCUCAAUGGAAGAAAUUUCUCUAGUUCGAACGAAUUUCAGUUCACAUUAAAACAAAAAUUACAUGUACGACCACAGUUGCGGUGUGUGACCCAUCAUGAGCAACAAAUGCAAGGUGUUCGCAGCCAAUUUGAAUUCCAGCCACGUCUAGCCUUUUCUUUAGGCCUUUCUAGUUGCAUUAAAUACCUUGAUUUUUAGAACAAAUUCACCUCCCGGCAGCUGUAUAUGAAUUUCAAAGGGCCACGUAGUUCGAAAUCUAAAAACUUGUUUAGAAAUAAUCUUGUUCAUCUCACAGUGUCUCAUGGCAUGGUGAGAGAAAACCUUGAAGCUUCAUCCGGAUUCCAAA